UACUAGAGUAGCACUCGCAUAUCAAUAAGCGGAGGAAAAGAAACUAACAAGGAUUCCCCUAGUAACGGCGAGUGAAGCGGGAAGAGCUCAAAUUUGAAAUCUUAAAGGGUUUCCCUUUACGAAUUGUAGUUUAAAGAAGUGUUUUCUGUUGAGGUUUUGGUAAAAGUUCUUUGGAAUAGGACAUCAUAGAGGGUGAGAAUCCCGUAUUUGACCUUUACUUUCAACUUUGUGAUACACUUUCAAAGAGUCGGAUUGUUUGGGAAUGCAGUCCAAAAUGGGUGGUAAAUUUCAUCUAAAGCUAAAUAUUGGCGAGAGACCGAUAGCGAACAAGUACCGUGAGGGAAAGAUGAAAAGAACUUUGAAAAGAGAGUUAAACAGUACGUGAAAUUGUCAAAAGGGAAGCGUUUGACACCAGUGUUGUUUCUCUGAAAAUCAAUUAAAGAACUGUUUAUGCUAAGUUGUUUAGACUUUAUCAGCUAUCUGUUUAGUUUUGAGCUUUUCUUUAAUGCACUUUUCAGUUAACAAGUCAACAUCAAUUUCUUUUGCUGUAAAAAAGCUUGAGGAAGGUGGCUUGAGAUUCGUCUUAAGUGUUUAUAGCCUCUUGCCUAUGCAGUCGGAGAGAUUGAGGUCUGUAGCGUAGAUCCUUCGGGGCUAAAUGCAUUUGUGCUAAGUUAUAGCAUUUUAUAGACAACUUGUUGACUAUGAUUUGUCUUGUAGCUUACUCGCUUAUGUUAUUUUACCUACGCUUAGGAUGUUGAGUCAUCACACAUCUCU
rnacentral:rRNA from 1 species